rnacentral:rRNA from 1 species
ACGGAGGGUGCAAGCGUUAUCCGGAAUCAUUGGGUUUAAAGGGUCCGUAGGCGGAUAAUUAAGUCAGAGGUGAAAUCCCACAGCUUAACUGUGGAACUGCCUUUGAUACUGGUUGUCUUGAAUUAUAGUGAAGUAGAUAGAAUGUGUAGUGUAGCGGUGAAAUGCUUAGAUAUUACACAGAAUACCGAUUGCGAAGGCAGUUUACUAACUAUAUAUUGACGCUAAUGGACGAAAGCGUGGGGAGCGAACAGGAUUAGAUACCCUGGUAGUCCACGCCGUAAACGAUGGUCACUAGUUGUUGGGUAUUUAUACUCGGUGACUAAGCGAAAGUGAUAAGUGACCCACCUGGGGAGUACGAUCGCAAGAUUG